rnacentral:lncRNA from 7 species
GCUUGGCCUCGUCUCUGUGUGUUUCUUGGAUAGGACUUGGAGCUCGGCGACCCACAGCUGUGUCCCCGAGCGUUGGGACGGACCCCACUUCUUACCCACCAGGAAUUGAAUGGGGAAUGGGAGGUUAAUAAAGUGCUGCCCGCACCGUGCUGGGCUGCAGAGGAGCACGGCCAAAAGACCCCUCACAGAGCUGAGGAAGGAGCACGAGCAGCCACGAUCCCCACGGCAUCGACUGGAAGAGCUGAAGAUGUUUUAUUUAAUAAUAAUAAUAAUAAUAAUAAUAAUAAUUACUAUUUUUCGGGCAGUUCAAUUUUUAAGUAUUUUUGAUGAGCUGUGUAUGAAAAUGCAUUCUGGACUCCCAACCCCGCACCAAACGCUGCCCCCAUUGCUGUCCUCAUGCGGUCCCCUUCAUCCCAUCCCCAUCCCAUUCUUAUCCCCAUCCCCAUCCCAUUCUUAUCCCCAUCCCAAUCCCAUCUUAUCCCACCCAUCACCCAUCCAUUCUAUCCCAUCCAUCCCAAUCCAUUCUUAUCCCAUCCCAUUUCUAUCCCCAUCCCAUCCCCAAUCCCAUUCUUAUCCCCAUCCCAUCCAUCCAUUCUUAUCUCCAUCCAUCCCCAUCCCAUUCUUAUCCCAUCCCAUCCCCAAUCCCAUUCUUAUCCCCAUCUCCAUCUCCAUCCUCUUCUAUCCCCAUCCCAUCCCCAAUCCCAUUCUUAUCCCCAUCCCAUCUCCAUCCCAUUCUUAUCCCCAUCCCAUCCCCAAUCCCAUUCUUAUCCCCAUCCCAUCCCCAUCCCAUCCCCAAUCCCAUUCUUACCUCCAUCCCAUCCCCAUCCAUUCUUAUCCCCAUCCCAUCUCCAUCCCAUUCUUAUCCCCUUCCCAUCCCCAUCCCAUUCUUAUCCCCUUCCCAUCCCCAAUCCCAUUCUUAUCCCCAUCCCAUCCCCAUCCAUUCUUAUCCCCAUCCCAUCCCCAUCCCAUUCUUAUCCCCAUCCCCAUCCCAUUCUUAUCCUCAUCCCCAAUCCCAUUCUUAUCCCCAUCCCAUCUCCAUCCCAUUCUUAUCCCCAUCCCAUCCCCAAUCCCAUUCUUAUCCCCAUCCCAUCCCCAUCCCAUCCCCAAUCCCAUUCUUACCUCCAUCCCAUCCCCAUCCAUUCUUAUCCUCAUCCCAUCCCCAUCCCAUUCUUAUCCCCAUCCCAUCCCCAUCCCAUUCUUAUCCCCUUCCCAUCCCCAAUCCCAUUCUUAUCCCCAUCCCAUCCCCAUCCAUUCUUAUCCCCAUCCCAUCCCCAUCCCAUUCUUAUCCCCAUCCCCAUCCCAUUCUUAUCCUCAUCCCCAUCCCAUUCUUAUCCCCAUCCCAUCCCCAUCCCAUUCUUAUCCCCAUCCCAUUCCCAAUCCCAUCCCGUUCUUAUCCCCAUCCCAUCCCCAUCCCAUUCUUAUCCUCAUCCCCAUCCCAUUCUUAUCCCCAUCCCAUCCCCAUCCCAUUCUUAUCCCCAUCCCAUUCCCAAUCCCAUCCCGUUCUUAUCCCCAUCCCAUCCCCAUCCCAUUCUUAUCCCCAUCCCAUCCCCAAUCCCAACCCCUCUCCGGCUCCUGA